AUUCCCCUAGUAACUGCGAGUGAAGCGGGAAAAGCUCAAAUUUAAAAUCUGGUGGCCUUUGGCCAUCCGAGUUGUAAUUUAGAGAAGCGUAUUCCGCGCCGGACCGUGCACAAGUCUCCUGGAAUGGAGCGUCGUAGAGGGUGAGAAUCCCGUCUUUGGCACGGACGACCGGGGCUUUUGUGAUGCGCUCUCGAAGAGUCGAGUUGUUUGGGAAUGCAGCUCAAAAUGGGUGGUGAACUCCAUCUAAAGCUAAAUAUUGGCGAGAGACCGAUAGCGAACAAGUACCGUGAGGGAAAGAUGAAAAGCACUUUGGAAAGAGAGUGAAACAGUACGUGAAAUUGUUGAAAGGGAAACGCUUGAAGUCAGUCGCGUCGUCCGAGACUCAGCCUCGCCUCGGCUUGGUGUACUUCUCGGCCGACGGGUCAGCAUCAAUUUUGCCCCUUGGAUAAUGGCGAGGGAAAUGUGACACCCUUACGGGGGUGUGUUAUAGUCUCUCGUCGCAUGCAAGGGUCGGGAUUGAGGAACUCAGCACGCGCCUUUGGGUGUCGGGGUUUUCGCCCACGAUACGUGCUUAGGAUGUUGGCGUAAUGGCUUUAAACGACCCGUCUUGAAACACGGACCAAGGAGUCCAACAUGCCCGCGAGUGUUCGGGUGGAAAACCCGUGCGCGAAAUGAAAGUGAAAGUUGGGACCUCCGUCGUGGAGGGCACCGACGCCCGGACCAGACCUUCUGUGACGGAUCUGCGGUGGAGCGUGUAUGUUGGGACCCGAAAGAUGGUGAACUAUGCCUGAAUAGGGUGAAGCCAGAGGAAACUCUGGUGGAGGCUCGUAGCGAUUCUGACGUGCAAAUCGAUCGUCAAAUUUGGGUAUAGGGGCGAAAGAC
rnacentral:rRNA from 1 species